UACGUAGGGUGCAAGCGUUAAUCGGAAUUACUGGGCGUAAAGCGUGCGCAGGCGGUGAUGUAAGACAGUUGUGAAAUCCCCGGGCUCAACCUGGGAACUGCAUCUGUGACUGCAUCGCUGGAGUACGGUAGAGGGGGAUGGAAUUCCGCGUGUAGCAGUGAAAUGCGUAGAUAUGCGGAGGAACACCGAUGGCGAAGGCAAUCCCCUGGACCUGUACUGACGCUCAUGCACGAAAGGCGUGGGG
rnacentral:rRNA from 1 species